CCUUUUUCUCCCCAAAGCUCCCUCGUACAUAGUUGUAAUAUUCUUCAUUGUGGGUCCUUCUAGUUGUGGCAUGUGGGACGCUGCCUCAGCGUGGUCUGAUGAGCAGUGCCAUGUCCGCGCCCAGGAUUCGAACUAACGAAACACUGGGCCGCCUGCAGUGGAGCGCGCGAACUUAAACACUCGGCCACGGGGCCAGCCCCCUAGGGCAUCGUUUCUUGCCAGUGAGAGCACACCCCUUCUUUGUUGGCUAAGGUGAACUCUGAGCCAUGUGAUUCUCUAGCACCUUACCUCAAUGACUGUCCUCUCAGUGAGCAGAAUUAGAGAAGUUUAGCCUGAUUGUUACCUUAUUUUAAUAGUUUUUUGUCUUUCUGAGAUUGUGUAUAACCUCACUUGGGCAUGUUAUUUCCCUAAACUGUUGUGCUUCCAGAUGUGACUGUUUCCCCCCCGGGAAGUAUUGGAAGAUACAAAGCAAGGCCACAUGUGUUUGACCAUGAGUGUGCGUGAGCUCAACAAAUGAACUGGUGUCUUAGAAAACUAUCAUACUCUCUGUCUUAAAGUCACAAAUUACAGCUGGAGAUUUCACCCAAAAUCAAAAUGCCAGGUAGCAUUUUUUGUACAUCCUAGGAUAAGCAGCUCACUUCCCAUCAACACAGUACAAGAAUUCAAGGACACCAAUUGUGAAACGUAAGUUUGCAGCCUGAUCUUGAAAAAGAGUAAUAUCUAAAUGAGUUGGCAAGAGGAAACCAGUUGGUUGAUUAAGAUAAGAGCAAACGAUGCCUGUGAACAAAAAAUCACCACUGCCUUAGUUUGCCAGCUAUUAGAAGUGCCUAAAUACUGGAAUUCCAUUAGCUAGCAUCAAGAGAGAAGAGCAGGUACAAACCAGAAAUUCUGAAAAGGGUGGAAAGAUAAUGAAUGUUAACAAAUGAAAUAUGGAGCAUACAAUGUCUUGUCUCUACAUGUAAUUAAGAAUAUGUGUAAAAUUGAUCACAGAUUAAGAUAUGUUUGUUUGAAACAGUCUAAACAGUAUGUUCACAUAAAGUAGAUUUUAGUAAAAGGAUUAUAUAUUUAAAUCACCUGUUUUUAAGUUUUUAUGGAUAUUUUUAGUCUUCAUGAAACAUAGUUUAUAGUUUGAGAUAGUUUUCUGUGGUUUGGGAAAGCUAUUCUAUUUGUUAUUCUCUCUCUACCCCUUAACCCCAUCCUUCAGAUUAUUUUUAUAAUUCCCAAGAAUUUGCAAACUUGCUCUUUCAUGUAUUUUCUGAAAAUGUGAAAAGUGUUAAAAGUUUGUGUUUUCAGUGCCUUAGGAAAUACAUAGGAAUACAUUUUUUUAAAACUGUGUGCCCAAAUCAGCAUUUCGCAAAGUGUGACAUGAUCUGUUUAUAGGUGUUAGGUGAAAAAGAUGCAGUUACAUAAUUUUGUGAAAUGCCAAGUUAAGCAAAGUUAAAGUUCUUUUCUAUAAGACUCUCAAGGCCUUCAGUAUUCUCCUGUGUUGUCCUCUGGGUAUAUCCUAUUUUCCAAAUGUACCUGCCCUUCUUAUAGGAUUGGUAUUCCAUGGAAAAUACUGAGAAUUGCUGGUCUAAACAUUGUUAAAAAUUAAACACAGCUGUCUAAAAUAAAAGGUGCCCCAAUCCUUUCCUAGAGUGUGAGCUCCUUGAGGGCAGGGACCCCUACUUAGUCUUGUAAUCCCAUAUGGCAUAUAACCAAUAUAAUGUUCAGGAUAUAUUAUUGAAUGAGUUAAUGUAAAUCUAAUAACUCUUGAAAGUUUGUUUUUAAAGGCAAGCCUAAUUAAAUUAAGCUUCUGAUUUGCUAAAG
ensembl:lncRNA